rnacentral:rRNA from 1 species
AACGAACGCUGGCGGCAUGCCUAACAUAUGCAAGUCGAACGAAGGCUUCGGCCUUAGUGGCGCACGGGUGCGUAACGCGUGGGAAUCUGCCCUUAGGUUCGGAAUAACAGCUGGAAACGGCUGCUAAUACCGGAUGAUAUCGCGAGAUCAAAGAUUUAUCGCCUGAGGAUGAGCCCGCGUUGGAUUAGGUAGUUGGUGGGGUAAAGGCCUACCAAGCCGACGAUCCAUAGCUGGUCUGAGAGGAUGAUCAGCCACACUGGGACUGAGACACGGCCCAGACUCCUACGGGAGGCAGCAGUGGGGAAUAUUGGACAAUGGGCGAAAGCCUGAUCCAGCAAUGCCGCGUGAGUGAUGAAGGCCCUAGGGUUGUAAGGCUCUUUUACCCGGGAAGAUAAUGACUGUACCGGGAGAAUAAGCCCCGGCUAACUCCGUGCCAGCAGCCGCCGUAA